rnacentral:tRNA from 1 species
GUUUUGAUAGUUUAAAAAAAACAAUGAUCUUGUAAAUCAUAAAUAGAAUAUCUUCAAAACU